rnacentral:lncRNA from 1 species
ACUCACUAACUCACUCACACAUCAUUUCUCAAGGGUGAAGAAAGUUAAGAAUUCAAAAUGGCAAAGCUUUCAUCUCUUUUUUAUUAGUCGUGGCCCUUUUCUCUGUGUUAUUAGAAGGUAUCUACAGUGUUUAUUUAAUUAGUUGUUAAUUAAUCUUGUUUAAUUAGUUGUAAUGAAUAUUUAAUUGAUUUUGUUAUUGCAGAUGGAGUGGUUAGUGGCGCGGAGAGUGAGUGUUUGCUGUGUAAUAAGGUGUGCCAGACCAAAGUGCAAGGGCCGUGCAUUCCGAAAGUGAC